UACAGAGGUCCCAAGCGUUGUUCGGAUUUACUGGGCGUAAAGGGUGCGUAGGUGGCGAGGUAAGUUCGAUGUGAAAUCUCCGAGCUCAACUCGGAAAGGUCAACUGAUACUGUGCGACUAGAGUGCAGAAGGGGCAACUGGAAUUCUCGGUGUAGCGGUGAAAUGCGUAGAUAUCGAGAGGAACACCUGCGGCGAAGGCGGGUUGCUGGGCUGACACUGACGCUGAUGCGCGAAAGCCAGGGGAGCGAACGGG
rnacentral:rRNA from 1 species